rnacentral:rRNA from 1 species
CAAAAACAUCGCCUCUUGAUCAAUUAUAAGAGGUCAAGCCUGCCCAGUGACAUUGUUCAACGGCCGCGGUAUCCUAACCGUGCGAAGGUAGCGUAAUCACUUGUCCUUUAAAUAAGGACUAGUAUGAACGGCUUCACGAAGGCUAUACUGUCUCCUUAAUCUAAUCAAUUAAACUAAUCUCCCCGUGAAGAAGCGGGGAUUCAUCUAUAAGACGAGAAGACCCUAUGGAGCUUUAAACAUCUAAGACACUUGAUUUUUACCUACUAAACUUCAUGCAACCUAUCCUUUUGUCUUAAGUUUUAGGUUGGGGUGACCACGGAGAAAAAUUAAACCUCCACGUAGAAAGAAAAUUCUUUUCUAAGCAAAAAGCCACAUCUUAACGCAUCAAUAUAUUGACUUAACUUGACCCAAUUUCUUGCUCAAC